rnacentral:rRNA from 1 species
AUUGAACGCUGGCGGCAUGCUUUACACAUGCAAGUCGAACGGCAGCGCGGGCUUCGGCCUGGCGGCGAGUGGCGAACGGGUGAGUAAUACAUCGGAACGUGCCCAGUAGUGGGGGAUAGCUCGGCGAAAGCCGGAUUAAUACCGCAUACGACCUGAGGGUGAAAGCGGGGGAUCUUCGGACCUCGCGCUAUUGGAGCGGCCGAUGGCAGAUUAGCUAGUUGGUGGGGUAAAGGCCUACCAAGGCGACGAUCUGUAGCUGGUCUGAGAGGACGACCAGCCACACUGGGACUGAGACACGGCCCAGACUCCUACGGGAGGCAGCAGUGGGGAAUUUUGUACAAUGGGCGAAAGCCUGAUCCAGCAAUGCCGCGUGUGUGAUGAAGGCCUUCGGGUUGUAAAGCACUUUUGGCGGGAACGAAAAGGACUGUGCCAAUACCACGGUUCGAUGACGGUACCCGCAGAAUAAGCACCGGCUAACUACGUG